AAUGAGUGGGACCAGAUUUGAACCUGAGCAGCAUGAUGCUUGAGCCUCACACUUCCUCCCUCUGGCUCCAUCAGAACUCACUGGGGACCACUUGGAGGUUAUGUUUAAAAUCCAAAAGUGCAAAGCAGAAUGAAAACUGACAAAUAGAAUGCUUUUGUUUGGCCAGCCUGAGCGACUUGUUGCUGAUGAGUGGAAUACAGCAGAAGUGACAGUGUGCACUUCAGCCAGCAGGCAGCAAACGGUACGUCCCCUCCAUGCCUACUUCUAGAUCAGUUGCUGCAGGGAAGCCGGCUGCCAUAUUGUGGGGACACUGGGGCUGUCCGUAUGGCCUCUGGCCAGCAGCCACAUGCAUGAACUUGGAAGCAGUCCUCCAGCCCCCGCCAACAUCUUGAUUGUAACCUCAUCGGAGAUCCCGAGUCAGAACUACCCACCUAAGCCACUCCUGAGUUCCUAACCCACAGAGGCGGUGGAGAUCAUAAAUGCUUGCCAUCCUAAGUUUGUUGUUUAUUAGCUAUAAAAAUA